rnacentral:rRNA from 1 species
UGGGGAAUAUUGGACAAUGGGCGCAAGCCUGAUCCAGCAAUGCCGCGUGAGUGAUGAAGGCCUUAGGGUUGUAAAGCUCUUUCGCCCGCGACGAUGAUGACGGUAGCGGGAGAAGAAGCCCCGGCUAACUUCGUGCCAGCAGCCGCGGUAAUACGAAGGGGGCGAGCGUUGUUCGGAUUUACUGGGCGUAAAGGGCGCGUAGGCGGCCCUCUUUGUCGCGUGUGAAAGCCCCGGGCUCAACCUGGGAAUGGCGCGCGAAACGGGGGGGCUGGAGUUCGGGAGAGGAGCGUGGAAUUCCCAGUGUAGAGGUGAAAUUCGUAGAUAUUGGGAAGAACACCGGUGGCGAAGGCGGCGCUCUGGACCGAGACUGACGCUAAGGCGCGAAAGCGUGGGGAGCAAACAGGAUUAGAUACCCUGGUAGUCCACGCCGUAAACGAUGUGUGCUAGACGUUGGGGAGCCUAGCUCUCCGGUGUCGCCGCAAACGCUUUAAGCACACCGCCUGGGGAGUACGGCCGCAAGG